UUUCCAUCCAUAAGAUGCCACUACAAAAGAGACCUCUUCUUGGUCACCAAUUGCCUAACCUUCAAAGGCAGGAGAAACCCAGCUGGAGUCACCUUGAGCAAACUUGUAGGUGCAUUUCUUUAAUAUCUAAUCCAGGCACAGAGGACUACAUUGCCACUCUGGAAACCAAACAGAGAAGCAGAGCACUUGCUAGUGACAGCACUACAAGCUGAAAGGAGCCUGUGAUGUGGAACAAGAAGAGCUGGAAAUUGUGAAAGAAGAAAAGAUAUGUGUGUGUAGAACUGGAGGGUUAAAAAGAAAGGGAAGCAAGUGAGAUGCUUUUCAAGAUUCUGUUCUCAGCUGGUUCUUAUUAACACCCCAAGUAAGCAAUGCUCUAAGUUUG
rnacentral:lncRNA from 11 species